rnacentral:sRNA from 1 species
GGUCACAUUGGAGAUCUAGUUAAACAAAGGAAAAUAUUUAAAUUAUUCACAAGAACUCACAUGUAAUAAUAUAUGGUUUUACUUAUAUGCAAGUAUUUUGACAUAUUACUGAUUAUUCAAAAUUGUUUAAACUUUGGCCACGGGAUAGUAUCCUGGGUAUCACAAGGGGUUCAGAGUUUGAUGAAGGUUUAUAUCCUAUAUAUAAUCAAUGUUUAGGAUCACUUUGAUAACUGCAAUGCUCAAAAUGUGAUAUGACUAUAAAAUCCUCCUGCUAGAAAAGGGACAUGAUAAUGAACAUAAAGUUAUCCAGCUGUAAAAUGGAUUUUUAUUUAUACAGGAUAUAAAUGUAUUAUAAUACAUUGUUAAGAUAUUUUGUAUUAUGUCCCCAUUAAGCCACUUCUAUUUAUUGAUAAUGCAUUUGGCAUGAUGAUGUUGUUGGUAUUGAUGUAUAUUGUGUAUAUUCAUUUGGUUAUGGUCAGAUGCGAACUAGUACCCAAUGUUUUCAACUUUUUCUAGCGUAUAUAAAUUAUAUUUUUAUGUUAUUUGAUAUUUUUCUACUUGGAUGUAUAGUUUCAAUUGAAGAUAUAAUUAUACUAUGACAUUAUCAAUAAGUAUCUAUUUGCAUUUUGCAAGCAAUUAAAAGAAAAUUGAAAACACU